GACGUAGGGCGCGAGCGUUGUCCGGAUUUAUUGGGCGUAAAGAGCUCGUAGGCGGCUUGUCACGUCGGGUGUGAAAGCCCGGGGCUUAACCCCGGGUCUGCAUUCGAUACGGGCUGGCUAGAGUCCGGGAGAGGAGAGUGGAAUUCCUGGUGUAGCGGUGAAAUGCGCAGAUAUCAGGAAGAACACCCGUGGCGAAAGCGGCUCUCUGGAACGGUACUGACGCUGAGACGCGAAAGCGUGGGGAGCGAACAGG
rnacentral:rRNA from 1 species